CACGGUCCUCUGCUGGACUUGUUCAUGCCUGUUAACAUCUUUCUUCACCAAGAGGGCUCAAACCUAGAUGUGAUCAAACAGGUGCCUAGCAAAAGGGGAAUAAUCCCUCCCUGUGGUCUCCUGCUUUCCUUCUGUUCAUGCUGCCCAGGAUGCAGUUGAACUUUGCUACCAGGGCAUACCCUGGCUCACAUUCAGGUUGCUUUCCACCAUAGGGCCAGAGGACCCCUGAGGCCCUUUCAUCAGAGCUGCUCCCCAGCCUGCAUGACUGCUAAGGGUUCUUACAUUCCAGAUGCAGGACCUGAUGAAGUUUCUACAGUCAACCCUCAACUGAAAGCCAACACAGACUGCCUACAACCAGUAACUGGGGGAGAAGACUUAAACAGCAGACUUCCCUUAAUAUGGACAGGUUACAUCAAUGACAUUGGCAUUAAAGAGAAGGCAACUUCAUGUUCAAGAGCUGAUCAACAGCGUCUAAAAUUUGAAAGAAAAAAGGUCUCCUGCAAGAUCUACAAACUUAAAGCCCAUGCAACACAGCCAGGGAGGACUGGUGGAGUGACAAGGCAAAAAGAUAAAAUUCCUGCCACUCUUUUCGGAAAAGAAAGUUUAAUAAAUUAAACUGGAACAGACCUCCAGAUGGACACUCCUGUUCCAGUAACUUGGCAGCUUUUUCCACUCAGAUAUACUUGUGCCUCUCCCUGGGCUGCCAGCCCUAUUUUUCAUCUAUUAACCCAAGACUUGAUACCUCAAAUCUCAACAGAUAUCAAUGGGAUGAGAGGACAAGACAUCAUGAGACACCACCAAGCUAAGCCCACAACAGUGCAGUUCAAAGAGACUGUACAGAUUUAAACCUUCCUUACACCACCACUUAUUUUAGUGCAAUUAUGCUCACACACUUCAUUAGUAAGGUCUGAACAUUCAGAUAAAAGUUCAAAGAACUGUUUAAGCAUUUUAAAAAGUUGCUAAAAUCUUAAUGUAUGUGUAAGACUUCCUGGCGUUAUAGGGACUUGGAAUUUGUUCUAGGGUUUUCCUUAAUUCCUAAAUAAAGGACAGACUUCUGGAA